rnacentral:rRNA from 1 species
CCUACGGGUGGCAGCAGUGAGGAAUAUUGGUCAAUGGGCUUACGCCUGAACCAGCCAAGUCGCGUGAGGGAAGACUGUCCUAUGGGUUGUAAACCUCUUUUGUCAGGGAGCAACGCCGGCUACGUGUAGCCGGACUGAGAGUACCUGAAGAAAAAGCAUCGGCUAACUCCGUGCCAGCAGCCGCGGGAAUACGGAGGAGGAGAGCGUUUUCCGGAUUUAUUGGGUUAAAGGGGUGCGUAGGCGGGAUGCCAAGUCAGCGGUAAAAUGGCGGGGCUCAACCCCGCUCCGCCGUUGAAACUGGCAGUCUUGAGUGGGAGAGAAGUAUGCGGAAUGCGUGGUGUAGCGGUGAAAUGCAUAGAUAUCGCGCAGAACUCCGAUUGCGAAGGCAGCAUGCCGGCGCCCAACUGACGCUGAGGCACGAAAGCGUGGGUAUCGAACAGGAUUAGAUACCCGGGUAGUC